rnacentral:rRNA from 1 species
AGGAUUAACGCUGGCGGCGUGCCUAACACAUGCAAGUCGAACGAGGUAGCAAUACCUAGUGGCAGACGGGUGAGUAGCGCGUGGUCAACCUACCGUUGAGUGGGGGAUAACUAGCCGAAAGGUUAGCUAAUACCGCAUACGUCUCCGAGGGGCAUCCCUUGGCGAUAAAAGGAGCAAUCCGCUCGAUGACGGGACCGCGUCCCAUUAGCUAGUUGGUGGGGUAACGGCCUACCAAGGCAUCGAUGGGUAGCUGGUUUGAGAGAGCGACCAGCCACACUGGGACUGAGAUACGGCCCAGACUCCUACGGGAGGCAGCAGUGAGGAAUUUUCCGCAAUGGGCGAAAGCCUGACGGAGCGACGCCGCGUGUGGGAAGAAGGCCUUCGGGUCGUAAACCACUGUCGAAGGGGAAGAUAAUGACGUUACCCUUGGAGGAAGCCCCGGCUAACUACGCGCCAGCAGCCGC